rnacentral:lncRNA from 1 species
GAUGAAGUGAUAGCUCCUUAUAUUGGAGUAGGAUCAACUGUUUUAAAUGUGUUAGAUGUCUCUUAUUAUUAUGCCUUAAAAGAAUUUUAUGACUAUUUUAUAGCUCUCUUUUAAGGGCAUUUUAUGUCACUGGUUUUGUUUCCAAACAUCCAAUGCUUGGAAUCCAAGAUACCAAGACUUCGUUGCCUAUAAAAGGACACAUAUAGAGAGCUUCAAAAUCAUCUUCACAACACACAACAUCUCUUUCAUUUACACACAUAUAUUGUGAGUGCAUUCUUGGUGAGAAUUCUUGUUCCAUUUGACAGAGU